UGACUCGGUUUGUGCCCAGAUCCCGGCGGC
rnacentral:piRNA from 1 species